rnacentral:rRNA from 1 species
AGCAGCCGCGGUAAUUCCAGCUCCAAUAGCGUAUAUUAAAGUUGUUGCAGUUAAAAAGCUCGUAGUUGAAUUUCGGGAUCAAUUUAUUGGUCGUGCUAUUGUACGUACUGGUGUCACUGGUUUCUCCCUUCUGAAGAACCGUCAUGCCAUUCAGUUGGUGUGGCGGGGAAUCAGGACUGUUACUUUGAAAAAAU